AGGAGUAAACAAGCUGUGUUAGUCAGAAGGAUACUGCAACACGAGUCCAAGAAUUAGAAAGAAUGGCAAAGAAGUGGGCAAAGAAUUCUGGGGCAUAUAGAGCUGUUUUUUAAAGAUGCUUCCUGUUCGGUUUUUACCUGGACAGCCCGUUUUUGGGAGGCGCUAUCAGGAAUCCGUCUGACUCAUCUUAUUACUGUGUCGUGAAACUGUGCUUGUGACUGGAUUUAAGCCCACUUCAAGAGAUUAGUGCUCACAUCUGGUUGGAGCAAUAUGUUUAACAUUAUAGAGACGUUACGUAAAAUCCACUGUAUUAUUUAAGAACUCUGCUACACUUUUAAUUGGAUUUGGUUAUGUUCAGCCAUGCUGCAACAAUUAGAUUUUGGUCUCAAAUAUUCAAUCAAACUUACCAUACGGGGGCCAUCAUUUAUACAUACAAGCCACUUGCUGUUUUACCUUUGGAAAUCAUUACAGCCUUCUCAGUAUGGGUUUUCUUGCCAUCUGCUUCUUCUCCAAAUGCUGCACUAAUAUAUACAUCUGCAGUGUGACUCUGGCUUAAUGUC